GACGAACGCUGGCGGCGUGCUUAACACAUGCAAGUCGAGCGGUAAGGCUCCUUCGGGAGUACACGAGCGGCGAACGGGUGAGUAACACGUGAGUAAUCUGCCCUUCACUUCGGGAUAACCACCGGAAACGGUGGCUAAUACCGAAUACGACCAGUCUUCGCAUGAGGUGCUGGUGGAAAGUCUUUUCGGUGAAGGAUGUGCUCGCGGCCUAUCAGCUUGUUGGUGGGGUAAUGGCCUACCAAGGCUUCGACGGGUAGCCGGCCUGAGAGGGUGACCGGCCACACUGGGACUGAGACACGGCCCAGACUCCUACGGGAGGCAGCAGUGGGGAAUAUUGGACAAUGGGCGAAAGCCUGAUCCAGCAACGCCGCGUGAGGGAGGACGGCCUUCGGGUUGUAAACCUCUUUCAGUACCGACGAAGCGCCCUGUCGGGUGGUGACGGUAGGUACAGAAGAAGGACCGGCCAACUACGU
rnacentral:rRNA from 1 species